GUCAGCAUGGUGUAGUGGUUUGAGUGUUGGACAAGAGCUCCAGGAGACCAGGGUUCAAAUCUCUGUUCAGUCA